GUCCCAGUAGCUCAGCUGGAUAGAGCAACGGCCUUCUAAGCCGUGGGUCAUGGGUUCGAAUCCCUUCUGGGACACUA
rnacentral:tRNA from 1 species